rnacentral:pre_miRNA from 7 species
CUUCGGGGUUCCUGGUUGUCACACAGAUCUCAGUGGAACCUCAAAAUGAUAGAACCUAGUGGGGAAACCCCCAUUCAAUUCCUGAUUUGCUGUGCACCCAAAAAAUUCCGGAAGGACC